AUUGAACGCUGGCGGCAGGCCUAACACGUGCAAGUCGAACGGUAACAGGGAUCAGCUUGCUGAUUCGCUGACGAGUGGCGGACGGGUGAGUAAUGUCUGGGAAACUGCCUGAUGGAGGGGGAUAACUACUGGAAACGGUAGCUAAUACCGCAUAACGUCGCAAGACCAAAGAGGGGGACCUUCGGGCCUCUUGCCAUCGGAUGUGCCCAGAUGGGAUUAGCUAGUAGGUGGGGUAACGGCUCACCUAGGCGACGAUCCCUAGCUGGUCUGAGAGGAUGACCAGCCACACUGGAACUGAGACACGGUCCAGACUCCUACGGGAGGCAGCAGUGGGGAAUAUUGCACAAUGGGCGCAAGCCUGAUGCAGCCAUGCCGCGUGUAUGAAGAAGGCCUUCGGGUUGUAAAGUACUUUCAGCGGGGAGGAAGGGAGUAAAGUUAAUACCUUUGCUCAUUGACGUUACCCGCAGAAGAAGCACCGGCUAACUCCGUG
rnacentral:rRNA from 1 species